CCUACGGGGGGCAGCAGUGGGGAAUAUUGGACAAUGGGCGAAAGCCUGAUCCAGCCAUGCCGCGUGUGUGAAGAAGGCCUUCGGGUUGUAAAGCACUUUCAGUGGGGAAGAAAGCCUUGGGGCUAAUACCCUCGAGGAAGGACAUCACCCACAGAAGAAGCACCGGCUAACUCCGUGCCAGCAGCCGCGGUAAUACGGAGGGUGCGAGCGUUAAUCGGAAUUACUGGGCGUAAAGCGCGCGUAGGCGGUCUGAUAAGCAGGUUGUGAAAGCCCCGGGCUCAACCUGGGAACGGCAUCCGGAACUGUCAGGCUAGAGUGCAGGAGAGGAAGGUAGAAUUCCCGGUGUAGCGGUGAAAUGCGUAGAGAUCGGGAGGAAUACCAGUGGCGAAGGCGGCCUUCUGGACUGACACUGACGCUGAGGUGCGAAAGCGUGGGUAGCAAACAGGAUUAGAUACCCUUGUAGUC
rnacentral:rRNA from 1 species